rnacentral:rRNA from 1 species
GACGAACGCUGGCGGCGUGCCUAAUACAUGCAAGUUGAGCGCUGAAGGUUGGUACUUGUACCAACUGGAUGAGCAGCGAACGGGUGAGUAACGCGUGGGGAAUUUGCCUUUGAGGGGGGGACAACAUUGGGAAACGAAUGCAAAUACCGCUUAAAAAUUUUAAACACAGGUUUAAAGUUUGAAAGAGGCAAUUGCAUAAUCCAAAGAGGAUCCCGCGUUGUAUUAGCUAGUUGGUGAGGUAAAGGCUCACCAAGGCGAUGAUACAUAGCCGACCUGAGAGGGUGAUCGGCCACAUUGGGACUGAGACACGGCCCAAACUCCUACGGGAGGCAGCAGUAGGGAAUCUUCGGCAAUGGACGAAAGUCUGACCGAGCAACGCCGCGUGAGUGAAGAAGGUUUUCGGAUCGUAAAACUCUGUUGGUAGAGAAGAACGUUGGUGAGAGUGGAAAGCUCAUCAAGUGACGGUAACUACCCAGAAAGGGACGGCUAACUACGUG